rnacentral:rRNA from 1 species
UACGAAGGGGGGCUAGCGUUGCUCGGAAUGACUGGGCGUAAAGGGCGCGUAGGCGGUUUGCACAGUCAGGCGUGAAAUUCCUGGGCUCAACCUGGGGGCUGCGUUUGAUACGUGCGGACUUGAGUGCGGAAGAGGGUCGUGGAAUUCCCAGUGUAGAGGUGAAAUUCGUAGAUAUUGGGAAGAACACCGGUGGCGAAGGCGGCGACCUGGUCCGAUACUGACGCUGAGGCGCGAAAGCGUGGGGAGCAAACAGG